UGAGUAACCUGCCCUUAACUCUGGGAUAAGCCUGGGAAACUGGGUCUAAUACCGGAUAUGACUCCUCAUCGCAUGGUGGGGGGUGGAAAGCUUUUGUGGUUUUGGAUGGACUCGCGGCCUAUCAGCUUGUUGGUGAGGUAAUGGCUUACCAAGGCGACGACGGGUAGCCGGCCUGAGAGGGUGACCGGCCACACUGGGACUGAGACACGGCUCAGACUCCUACGGGAGCAG
rnacentral:rRNA from 1 species